ACGGUGAUGGGAAAGUCGGGGGAGGACGGGGUUUGGGUGGGAGGAUCGGGAGCUCCGUUUUGGACACGCGUUAAAUUUGAGGCGAUUGGGAGGACGUCCAAGUAGAGAUGUCUCGGAGGCGGGAGGAGAUGCGGGCUUGAGAUGUCGAUUUGGGCGUCAUCCGCCUAGAGACUAGAAGGGGACCCAGAACUUGAUCUCGAGGGACCGCCCCCCCCCCCCAGUCAGGGGGUGGGAGGCGAGAAGGAGUCCGCCGAGGAGACCGAGAAUCGGCGGCCAGAGAGAUGAGAGGAGAACCGGGAGAGGACAGGGUCAGUGAAGACAAGGUGGGAUAACGUUUCCGGCAGAAGGGGUGGUCCACAGCGUCAAAGGCGCCGAGAGUAGAGGAGGAUUAGGAUGGAGUAGAGGCCGUUGGAUUUGGCCGGGAGAUCGAAAGCCCAACUGGAGGAGGGUCGAGGAGAGAAACGGAGGAGAGAAACAGCGAUUUAGCUCAAGGAGUUUGGAGAGGAAAGGUAGGAGGGAGAUGGGGCGGUACCUGGAGGGGGCCGUGGGGUCGAGGGAGGUCUGUCUCUCUUUAGGACAGGGGAGACGUAGACGUGUUUGAAAGCAGAGGGGACGAAGGCUUGGAAGCCACCUCGGGUGUCCUGAGACUGGGGUUCUGCAAUCAAUCAGACGGCCAGAGCCAAGUCAAGCAGAGCACCCAGUCAGCGGACGGACCUUUCCGCUCUUCAGCCCGGCGUGAAUUGCGCUCCUUUUUAGAGCCAUUUCUCUGAAGCUGAGGAGACUGGGGUCUCCGAACCCCCGGAUGAGGAUCCGUUCAGCGCUACAUGUCCCGAGCCCCGGGGAACGUGUCUCCUAUAUCGCUGCACCGUACCAAAUCAAGCCGAAGCGGUCUCGCGAGGCCAGACGACUCGACUCGGCACGUUCCGGACACCCCCUCGUCAGGACCGACUCCCCGGAGAAGCAGCCGACGCCCGGAAAAGUCCCGGGGAAAGGCGGAAGAGGGAGACCGGCAGCUUGACGGAGAGAGACCGUAGCAAGGGCGACGGAAGGACCGUCGGCGAGGCGCCGGAUCUCGGCAGGAGACGGGACCUUCCGGGGAAAAAAUAUAUCAGAGCCUGGGCUUUGGAGUCAGAGGCCGCGAGUUCAAAUCCCAGCUCUGCCACUUGUCCGGCUGCGGGGACCACCGGGGGCGAGUCGCUUCGCUGCUCCAAUGGGCCUCAGUCGCCUCAUCUGUAAAAUGGGGAUGAAGACCGCGAGCCCCUCGUGGGACGACCCGAUUCCCCCGCGUCCACCCCGGCGCUUGGCGCGGCGCCCGGCGCCUAGUAAGCGCCUGACAGCUACCGGCAUCAUCAGCCGCAGAGUCGCCGCCGCGAAUCGGGAACUACCCGGCGAUAACAGCAACGAUAUCGUCCCCGGCGCUUAGUACGGCUCUGC
rnacentral:lncRNA from 1 species